GAUGAACGCUGGCGGCGUGCUUAACACAUGCAAGUCGAACGGAAAGGCCCUGCUCUUGUUUUUUUCUUGUUUGCCGAACGGGUGAGUAACACGUGUGUAUCCCCCCCCUAUCUUUCUGAUAACUUUACGAAACUCGGGCUCUAACCCGAUAUGAUCUCCUGCUCCAUGUUGUUGGUUGGAAAGUUUCGGCCGUUCGGGCUGGACUCGCUGGUUCUCAGCUUGUUGGUGUGGUAGUUACUUACCAAGGCUUUGACGGAUAGCCGGCCUGAGAGGGGGACCGGCGACAAGGGGACUGAGAGACGGCGCAGACUGGUACGGGAGGCAGCAGGGGGGAGUAUUGCAGAGUGAGCGGAAGCGUGAGGCGGAAACGCCGCGUGCGGGAUGACGGCUUACGGGGGGUAAACAGAUGUCGAAGGAGACGAAGAGAGAGUGACGGUAACGAGUAAAGAAGCAACGGCUAACUACGUG
rnacentral:rRNA from 1 species